GAAAUGCGAUAAUUAAUGUGAAUUGCAGAAUUCAGUGAAUCAUCGAGUCUUUGAACGCACAUUGCGCCCCCUGGUAUUCCGGGGGGCAUGCCUGUCCGAGCGUCAUUGCGAACCCCUCAAGCACGGCUUGUGUGAUGGGCCCUCCCGCGUCUUGGUCGUCAAGACGGGCCCGAAAAGCAGUGGCGGCUUCGCGGUUAUCCGAUCAGCCAGAGCGUAUGGGGACUUUCUCUCUGUCACACGCCCGCGGCGCGGACCGACGCCUGUCGACCUUUAUUCAUCUUUUUCUCGGUUGACCUCGGAUCAGGUAGGGAUACCCGCUGAACUUAAGC
rnacentral:misc_RNA from 1 species